UAGGGAAUCUUCGGCAAUGGACGGAAGUCUGACCGAGCAACGCCGCGUGAGUGAAGAAGGUUUUCGGAUCGUAAAGCUCUGUUGUAAGAGAAGAACGAGUGUGAGAGUGGAAAGUUCACACUGUGACGGUAUCUUACCAGAAAGGGACGGCUAACUACGUGCCAGCAGCCGCGGUAAUACGUAGGUCCCGAGCGUUGUCCGGAUUUAUUGGGCGUAAAGCGAGCGCAGGCGGUUAGAUAAGUCUGAAGUUAAAGGCUGUGGCUUAACCAUAGUAGGCUUUGGAAACUGUUUAACUUGAGUGCAAGAGGGGAGAGUGGAAUUCCAUGUGUAGCGGUGAAAUGCGUAGAUAUAUGGAGGAACACCGGUGGCGAAAGCGGCUCUCUGGCUUGUAACCGACGCUGAGGCUCGAAAGCGUGGGGAGCAAACAGGAUUAGAUACCCUGGUAGUCCACGCUGUAAACGAUGAGUGCUAGGUGUUAGACCCUUUCCGGGGUUUAGUGCCGUAGCUAACGCAUUAAGCACUCCGCCUGGGGAGUACGACCGCAAGGUUG
rnacentral:rRNA from 1 species